CAAGCCUCCACAACUGUGUGAGCCAAUUCCUUAAAAAAUCAGUCUGCAUUGUGCUUUUACACAUAAUCUUCUUGUUAUGACACCUGAGGAGCAAGAAGUGGAGAAUUCUUAAGCAAGGAGGUGGUCUUUGUUCUGCAUUUGGAAGGAGCUAAGCUUACUGCAGGUGUAAUGAAGGCAAGUGGAUGUCGGAAAGCGGUACAAACUUGUGUAAAAGUACGGAAGGAAAAGUGACAACUUGGUGUGCCUGGAGUGAAAGGUUUCUUUUUUGGAGAGAUUUACACCUCGCUAUCUUCUCUGGCUGGCUCAACCUGAAGGAUCCCAAUUUUGAAAGAAAAAGCAUGUGAUCAGCAUGGGAGUUUCGACCUGCUCCGUUUCCGACCUGGGCCAGUUCACCCCUCCUUAGGCAACCUGGUGGUCCCCGCUCCCAGGAGGUCACCAUAUUGAUGCCAAACUUAGUGCGGACACCCGAUACGCAUAGCACACUACAGCCCAGAACUCCUGGACUCAAGCGAUCCUCCAGCCUCAGCCUCCUGAGUAGCUGGGACUACAGGCACAAAGACCUAUUUAUGACAAACCCACAGCCAAUAUCACACUGAAUGGGCAAAAACUGGAAGCAUUCCCUUUGAAAACUGGCACAAGACAGGGAUGCCCUCUCUUACCACUCCUAUUCAACAUGGUGUUGGAAGUUCUGGUCAGGGCAAUCAGGCAGGAGAAAGAAAUAAAGGGUAUUCAAUUAGGAAAAGAGGAAGUCAAAUUGUCCCUGUUUGCAGAUGACAUGAUUGUAUAUUUAGAAAACCCCAUCGUCUCAGCCCAAAAUCUCCUUAAGCUGACAAGCGACUUCAGCAAAGUCUCAGGAUACAAAAUCAAUGUGCAAAAAUCACAAGCAUUCUUAUACACCAAUAACAGACAGAGAGCCAAAUCAUGAGUGAACUCCCAUUCACAAUUGCUUCAAAGAGAAUAAAAUACCUAGGAAUCCAACUUACAAAAGAGAACUACAAACCACUGCUCAACGAAAUAAAAGAGGACACAAACAAAUGGAAGAACAUUCCAUGCUCAUGGAUAGGAGAAUCAAUAUUGUGAAAAUGGCCUUACUGCCCAAGGUAAUUUAUAGAUUCAAUGCAUCCCCAUCAAGCUACCAAUGACUUUCUUCACAGAAUUGGAAAAAACUACUUUAAAGUUCAUAUGGAACCAAAAAAGAGCCCACAUUGCCAAGUCAAUCCUAAGCCAAAAGAACAAAGCUGGAGGCAUCACGCUACCUGACUUCAAACUAUGCUACAAGGCUAUAGUCACCAAAACAGCAUGGUACUGGUACCAAAACAGAGAUAGAGACCAAUGGAACAGAACAGAGCCCUCAGAAGUAAUGCCACACAUCUACAACCAUCUGAUCUUUGACAAACCUGACAAAAACAAGAAAUAGGGAAAGGAUUCCCUAUUUAACAAAUGGUGCUGGGAAAACUGGCUAACCAUAUGUAGAAAGCCGAAACUGGAUCCCUUCCUUACACCUUAUACCAAAAUUAAUUCGAGAUGGAUUAAAGACUUAAAUUUUAGACCUAAAACCAUAAAAAUCCUAGAAGAAAACCUAGGCAAUACCAUUCAGGA
rnacentral:lncRNA from 1 species